rnacentral:sRNA from 1 species
AUACCAUUUUUAUAAGUACUAACGUCGUAGUAGCCACAUCUUUCGCACCUUGUUUGAUUUUAUAUUUGUUGGAUUUUCCACCAUUUAUCUUAAAGGAUUUGUUGGGUUAACUUCUGUUCUUAACAGAAAGAUGGGGUUCCUAAUAAUAUUAUAUGCUCAAUCGUGUUUAUAUAAAUGUUAUAAGGUUAUUUGAAAUAUUAAGCUUGCGUAAUAUUAACAAUAAGCCGCAGAUAAAAGAUAAAAUUGAACGUUAUUCGGUCGAUAGGAUGGCGGAGGUUUAAUUUAUAUGGACUUGCCAAUUGGCGAGCCGCAAAAUAAAACUCUGCAACCCUCCCUAAACAAAAAACGAUAUCCAGGCGGCAGACAACAUUUUACAAACUUCUAAAUGCUCUGUUGAACUUCUUUGAAAGUUUUAACUCUCUUUCGGCUGUUUGGCAACCCUGUGAAAGUUCAUUAAUAUAUAUAUGGCAUUUGGCAAGAGCUGGAAACGUAGCCGCCAAGCGGAGAGGGGUUGUGGCUGUCACAUAGGCGCAGAAACUUUCACCCUGCCUGUCAGAUCCCCUCCUUUGAUAUACCAAAUUCGUUUUGUUUAUUCUAUCAAGUUUUUAAAUUAGCAGGAACACGCCCGUAAAUCUGCCAUUACCUGGGUAGCGUACAGAUCCAUAAAACUUGUUUCCCAAAGUUCAGAAAGUUGCAUAAAUGGAUUAACAGCUUGGUAACCAACUUUCCCAUUAAAACCAAUCAGUUUGGAAUCCCAUACCCAACCUGGCCAACAAGGGAUAUUUUAAAGGUGGCGUAUAACGUAAAAUGGCUUCGAUUAUCCAUAAAUUUUAUUAAUGGUGUCGCCUGUCUGCUUUCAACUAAAUUGCCCCUAUAAUUAAUACAAUCGUAACUCAGCUAGCUUUUUUGUGGUAUGGGCUGUUCUGUUUUCGGGCUACCAAAUACAACCGGUUAAAUCCUCGUUAAUAUAAUUUUUUAUAUGGCUUUCCCCGGUGGAAUACCCUUCGUAUAUUUUACAAACUUUUGCACCCGAUCGAACAGGAGAAUCAGCUUAUUUUUAAAUGGACAUUCAGACUUUAUUAUAUAUUGGUAUACCCGAUCGUUUUGUAAAUGUUCGAAUCGCGACAAAAUUUCUACCAAAAUACAUAUAAAAAAUGGUUUGGAAAUCGGCCACAAAUCGGAGCGUCGCAAUAUAACAAAGAAUUCCGCCACCCUGGAAUCGCUGGUAUAUAAUCUCCUACGCAGGUUGGUGUUCCUAUACGGGUGGCACGUUUUGGACCCAUUUGGAUGGAUCUUACCAAAUAAAACAUAUAAAAAACCUGCCAUUUCGUAAGCAGGUUUCCGCUAUUAUAGGUUUUCUUCGGUUUUUUCGAACGCGCCUCGUAUUUUCUCUAGUUUUUGGAAAACCAGGCCAUUUAAUGCAACUGCUAACGAUUAAAAAUCGCUUUAAUUGUUUAAACGUAAAUAUUACCUGUAAGGGUUUCUGGCAGAACUGACAGCAUUUCGUGCUUUCUCCAAAUAGGGACGGAAUUUGGCUUCAGCUGUUUCGCGGCCCUAAUAAUUGCGUUGGAAAGGUUUGAUAAUUCGAACAAAUAUAUUGCCAAUAAUAUAUAACCAAAAUCUUCCGGCGUGGAAAACUUUUGGUUUUCGUUGCACCAAUAUUCGAUCCAAGGUUUUAGGGUUUUAUUGCAAUGGUAUUUAUCGCUUUGGAUUACUAUUACCGCAAUUAUUUUUGGUUCGAUUAACAUUGCGAUCUCCCCCGCCUAAUGGUGGAGGAUGCGUAAAAGUAAUUCCAUCGUUUAAACGUCGCGUUUUUCCAAAUUAAUUACUGGGCGGUCUCCUCGCCUCACCCGAAUCCCCUUUUGGAAAUUCGAAUUAAAUAUAACUAAAAAAACCGGUAAGGUUAGGGUAAAUAUUCUGGAACAGGCCAAUAAUUUUAUUUUUGCGUCGCAUAGUGGGUUAUAAACGGAAAAAAUAACGUCUCCCUUUAAAUCUAAUAUUUCAAAACGAUAUUUAAUGCCGUCAACUUCAACUUCACUGGCUGGUUCUGAACAUAUUUUGAACCAGAAUAGAAAAUAAAUAUGGGAUAUAUAAUCGAUAAUGUUUCGAAAUUUUUUUAUAAAGGAAAAUACUAAUAUAUAACGGGUAUAUCGACCUCGAAUUUUUAUAUAAUUGUUAAUAGCGAUGGAUUUCCUGAAAACAAAACUUUAUAUUGGUUUGGUAAAAAAUAGAAAAGUUCCUAAUUGUUGGCAGUUGUUUGCGGCAAUAAUAUUUGCGACCUAAAUAAUAUAAUAUAUUUCGGUUAAUACGGCUGCAAAAUUUUAUUUUCGUUCUAUAAUAAUAAACUAUAAUAUAAAAUAAAUCCACCAUUUUUUAAAUUAAUUUUAAUUUCGAUUUUUUUUGUUUACCUUAAUUACAAAUACUGCCGGUUUUAUAUACGCCGAAAUUUAGUGUCGAACUUUCGCAAUUGCUAUAUAUAUGCGAGCACGUAAAGGUACGGCCAUUAUAUCUUAACCCGACAAAAUAUAAUUUAACCAGCAUUAAUUUGGGUAUUUUUUUAUUUGCCGUUAAUCCGACGAACCGGUGGCUGCAUCCAUUUUGUCCAAAAAAAUAUAUCUGUUUACGUAUUUAACAUAUAAUUUUAAAAUGUUAGCAGUUUGCAUUAUUUCCACGGAUUUGUCUAGGGACGACGUAUUUAGGUUAUAUAUUAAUUGGUAACAGUCCCAAACUGGAUCGGAGAAACAGAAAAAACAUUACGGGACUGUUGGCGCACGAAUAUAAUAUAGAUAUAUUUGCGGCCAAACCAGGAAAAAAUAACCUAAUAUAUGCGCCUCGCUUUAAACCGACAGUUUUGGUUUUUAAAUUUUUUUCCUAAAUACCUGUUAUUCCCCUUUUAGCAAAUUUACCAAUAUCCACACGUAAUAAAAUAUAAUUAUAACUGUAAUUCUUUUUUUACCACCUAAAACUUUAAUAAAAAACCGGUCAAUUUUUAAUUUUGUACGCCAACCUGCUUAAAUAUUCUGGUUUAAUUAACCGUCCGACAAUAUAUAGUUCGACAAAUAAAAAUAUUAUUUCCAGGUCGUAUUUCGAAUUUCGUAUUAACGUAUUUCAUAUCCAUCUCUUGGUUAAGGAUUUUAUUUUUUCGUUUAGCAGGGUUGCGGAUUCGUGUUUAUUGCAUAUAUUUCUGGAUUAUUAACAAGCGGGGCAGGAAAUUUAACCUGUACGAUAACGUUGGGUACCCCCUAACCGCACCCCCAAAAAUUUAACAAAAACGGAUAUAUUAUUUUCGCGAAAGCGAAACGUUAUUAUUUUGCGCGAACGUUUUUUAUUUAUGCAAUAAUAAAGUUUGUCGGAAUUUUUCUAAUAUUAUCGCUGGAGGACGUCCACCUGCCGGAUUUCUUAUAUACGCGGGGCGUAAAUUCGUCAUUGGAAAACUUGUUAAUGGAAGGUUAUAUAGCAAAUAAAAACGAUAAAGGUAGGAAAUAUCGUAUGCACAAAGACCUAACCGCAUAUAUACCUUACCGUAUUUGGUAAUAACGCGGGUAAAGGGAAAUUAAUGCAAUAAAACAAACCCCUCUUUUGGUUUUUUUUAGCAUUUAACGUCCAAAAUCCAAUUGGUUGGUACGGUAUAUUGUUAAUUUUUCUAUUUGGUAUUGUCGAUACCAAUACCUAUUACCAAUAUAAAUA